rnacentral:rRNA from 1 species
GAGUUUGAUCCUGGCUCAGGAUGAACGCUAGCGGCAGGCUUAAUACAUGCAAGUCGAGGGGCAGCAGCUUUAUAGCAAUAUAGAGGCUGGCGACCGGCAAACGGGUGCGGAACACGUACACAACCUUCCUUGAAUAGGGGGAUAGCCCAUAGAAAUGUGGAUUAAUACCCCGUAAUAUAGCGGUGUGGCAUCACACUGUUAUUAUAGUUUCGGCGAUUCGAGAUGGGUGUGCGGCUGAUUAGGUAGUUGGCGGGGUAAAGGCCCACCAAGCCUUCGAUCAGUAGCUGAUGUGAGAGCAUGAUCAGCCACACGGGCACUGAGACACGGGCCCGACUCCUACGGGAGGCAGCAGUAAGGAAUAUUGGUCAAUGGACGCAAGUCUGAACCAGCCAUGCCGCGUGAAGGAUGAAGGUCCUCUGGAUUGUAAACUUCUUUUAUAGGGGGCGAAAAAAGGUCUUUCUAGAUCACUUGACAG